AGAUCCGCUUCAUACUUUCUGAGCAAUUUCUGAUUGGCUCAGUAUUUACCAUUUUAAUUGCAAUUUUUAAAUAGUUGUAGACCUUAAAUCUGUUCUUCCCUCUCUAAGCCACCGAGACAUGUGUAGUAAUUUGGACAAAAGCAAAACAGAGCGUAAUAUGGUUGGAUUUGAGCUUGAAUUGGCCAUGAACUAGUGUCGUUCUGUAUUUUUUAAUUCUUUGCUUAAGCUGAGUCUUGUAAUAAUAAAAUGGGAUAUCCGCAUUAAAAAUUUAAAUCUUUGCUGAUUUUUGCGUCCUAAUCCAAUUUUUUAUUUUUGAUACAAAAUGGUGUAUAUUGAAAAAUAAUUGAUUUAUUUUUAUUAUUUUAAUUUGUUGAUUUAAAAAAUUAAAUCAAAUUGAAAAAAUAAAAAUAUUUAAAUAAAUACACAUGAUAUGAUACAUAUGAUAUGCGAUAUCAACUACUAGUACAUACUCCUCUAUUUGAAAUUUAAAAUUAGAUAAAAUUAUUAAAAUGUUUAAAUUUUGAUUUACUGUGCUAGAAAAUAAAAUUUUGGAUUAAAAUGUAAAAAUUUGCAAAUAUUUAUAUUUUAAUGUUAAUAUUCCUAAUAAAAUAAUACAAAAAAUGAAAUUUUAUUGUACCUAUUUAAAAAUUAUGUAAAUAUUUAAUAAUUCAGGACGUCCACUUGCACUCUCGAGUUUCUUAUAUGCUCUCGAUUAAGAUUCAACUAGUAACGACACUGCACAAGCUUAGCACUUUACCAACGUCAAAUGUCACGCCCUUUGCAAGUACAUGGUCCAUCUUGGACUUGUGGGAGCUCCUAGGAGGUGUGUCAUGGAAAGUAUGAACAUCAUGACCAACACUCUUUACUUUUAGUUCUACAUAGCGCAUUGCAAGUCCGACACAUUACAUAUUCAACAACGUGUGUGGAUGUAAUUGAAUUGAAUUUUAAAGAUUUUGAAGUUUAAUUGGUUUUUUUUUCGCAAGCACAAACUCAGUUUGUUUUUAUUUUGUUAUAAAUUCGUGAUGGGCUGAAUUUAUGGAGUUUUUAAUCUCACCUUAUAUUUAGCUUGUUUACAAAGCUUGUAAAUUCAAAUUUGAAUCAUCAAAUUAAUGAAUAUAGAAAAUGAAAAAUUAAUUGAAUCAGUAAUCAUAAUGGUAAAAUUAAUAAAAUUAUACAAUUUUAAUUAAGAUAUAUUGAAUAUAAAAAGUUAUACGUUUUAUACAUUUCAUAUUUAUAUUUUAUAUUUUUUUUACAAAGCUAAAAUUUUAAAAUUAUUCAUGAUAUUAGCCAACAGAGUAAUAUAAAUUUAAAAAAAAAUUAAUGGUAAAAAAAUAUGACUUUUGAAGUUUUAUUUUUUAUUAAUAAAAAUAAUUUUUUAAAAUUAGAAUCUCAUGUAAAAUCAAAAUCAACAUAUCAAUAAAAGAGAUCCAGUUAGAUAAAGAUAAAAAAAUAUAAUUCGAUACUACAUUAACGGAGAAAACAAAGGUUCGACUAAUAGAGUUACUAAAGAAUCAAGUAACCACUUUCAUUUGGUCUCCAAAAGAUGUAAUAUGUGUGAACCUGACUCUCAUCACCCAUAAGUUAUUUAUUGACAAGAUCGCUGAACCAGUCUAAUAAAAAAAAAAGAAAGUUUGCACCAAAAAGACAAUAGGUAAUCAAAAAAGAGGUUAGUAAAUUUUUGAGUGCAGGGUUGAUAAAGGAAGUCCAGUAUCCCACGUAACUAGUCAAUGCGGUCCUAGUAAAUAAAGUUAACGAGAAAUAGAGGAUGUGCAUGGAUUUCACAGACUUGAAUAAAACAUUUCCAAAAGAUCAUUACUCGUUGCCGUCCAUCGACAGAUUAGUAAACUCGACCUCGAGUUAUGCAAUAGUUUCCUUCCUCGAUGCUAUUUAAGGAUACCACCAAAUCAUGGACAUAGAUGAUGCAGAGAAAAUUGUGUUAAUGAUAGAUGAAGGAGUUUACUGCUACAAAAUAAUGCCUUUUGGAUUGAAAAAUGUGCGACUAAAGGCUGGUGUCAGGAAUCUUCAAAGACAUGGUGGGAUCAAUAGUCGAAGUGUACGUAGAUGACAUGGAAGUAAAUAGUCGAUCCUUAGAAUAUCAUCCAGAAGAUAUUUGUAAAGUUUCUGAUGUCCUGGACAUGGCGGGUAUGAAGUUGAACCCUGAAAAGUGUACCUUUGGGGUAAAGACUGGGAAGUUUCUAGGGUAUAUCAUCUCAGAAUGAGGUAUAGAAGCGAACCCUGAGAAGAUCAGUGCCAUCCAAAAUAUGGAAGCACCCAAAACCAUCAAUGAAGUACAGAGGUUAAAUAGGCGAGUCAUUGUCUUGGGUGAUUCAUAUCAUGUUCGGUCAGAAGGUGCCUCCCAUUCUUCAAGGCCUUAAAAAGCAAAGGUAAGUUUGAAUGGGGAGGAAGAAUGUGCAGAGGCUUUUGAAAGUCUGAAAAACUUUUAUCAUCUCCUUCAUUGCUAAGCCUACCUGUCAAAAGCAAAGUUUUAUUUUUAUACUUAUUUGUGACGCAAAAAAUAGUUUGCUCAAUGCUUGUUCACGAAAACAAUGGGAAUAAAGCCUAAUAUAUUAUGCCAGCAAAGUUUUGAAGGGGGCAGACUGAAUUAUCAUUCUUUCAAAAAGUUAGUAUUUGCAGUCCUAAUGUUAGCCACAAAACUACGACCAUACUUCAAGUCACACACCAUAGAAGUCAAAGCCGAUUAUCCUCUGCGAAAGGUUCUACACAGACCGGAGCUGUCAAGGUGGUUGUCUACCUGGGCGGUAAUAUUGUCAGUCUAUGAUAUCAGGUAUGUUCCAAGAAAGGUCAUGAAAGCCCAGGUGCUAGCCAAUUUUGUCAGGGAAAUGACUCCGCCAUUAGAACCUUUGGAGUCCCCUGAAUCAAUCAUAGAGGAGGGGAAGGUUUGGGCAGAUGGAGCUUAUGGAGCCAAAGGUUCCGUAAUUGAGAUCCUGUUGCAAUUUCAAACCAAUAUAAAGUUUCGAUAUGCAACAAAGCUCGCCUUCAAUACCACCAACAAUAUAGCCGAAUAUGAGGCUAUAAUAAUGGCCAUGAGAAUCAUCAAGGAAUUAGGUAUAAAAAAUCUAUUAUUUUUAGUGACUCACGACUGAUUAUUAAUUAGUGUCAAGGACAAUUCAAAGUUCGAGAACUGAAUCUUGUCAAAUACAAGAAAAAGGUUCAGAGGCAGCUGCGAACUUUAUUAGGUGGCCAGAGACAACAAUGAAAAGGAAAAUCUUCUAACCAAGAUGACGACAGCAGAUGAAUAGCAUUUGACUUAACUGUUUCACUUUAAGGAAUUGCACACUCCAGCAAUGGAAGUGGAAGAGUCUUAUCCCAUAGAAGAGGGAAAAUCAUGGAUGAUACACAUCUAUAAAUUUCUGACACAAGAUAAUCUUCCAGCCGACUAGUUAUUUGCUAAACAAGUAACAAGGAAGUCUUUUAAAUACGUACUAAUUGAUGGUUGGUUGUACAGGAGGUCCUCCAUGCAGCUAUAGCUGCGAUGUUUUACAGAGGAGGAAGGCCAAGAAAUCCUAAAGGAUAUCCAUGAAGGUGAUUAUGGAAGGCAUGAGGGAGCUUGAACAAUCGCCCAAAAAGCAUUCAGACAAGGGUACUAUUGGCCAAAGGUAAUGCAAGAUGUAAGGCAACUUGUCUAUAAGUGUCGAAGAUGCCAAGUACACACAAACAUUCCAAGGACCUUGGGAGAAAUGCAAGCAACCAUUGGAAGCCUUUGGCGCCUUUUUUUCAGUGGGGGAUAGACAUCCUUGGCCUGUUCCUUAAGGCAUCCAGGUCAAGGAAGUUUGUAAUCAUGGCAGUAAACCAUUUCAGCAAAUGGGCAAAAGUUGAGACAGUACAAUCCAUCACCACCCAGUAAGCAAUUUAAUUUGUCAGCAAAAAUAUAAUCACUCGAUUGGGGAUACCAAAGAUAGUGAUCACCGAUAAUGGGACUCAGUUUGCAAGCUCUAGGUUUAAAGACUUCUACAAGAAAUAGAAAAUUGACUUGAGGUUCAGCUCAGACAAUCAUCACUAGACUAAUGGAAUGACUAAGGUUACAAACAAAACCAUCCUAUAGAGACUAAAGAAAAGGCUCGACCAAGUCAAGGGCAACUGGCUUGAAAAGUUACUUCACAUACUAUGAGCAUACAGGACCACUUCUAGAACAGCUAUAGGAGAAACAUCAUUUUCUCUUGCAUAUAGGGCCGAGGCAGUCAUCCUCAUAGAAAGUCCAAGUAAGUAGCUUCAAUACACAACACCCUAAGAUUUUUGGAAAAUCCAAAGAGAUGUAAUUCAAUUUGGACCAAGCUGAGUUCCUACGAGAAAGGCCGCAAUUAAAAUAGCGAUUUACAAAAAUAAAAUGUCCAGAAUGUUGAACAGUAAGAUCAUGCCACAACCUUUUAAAGUGGAAGUCCUCAAAAGAACAAAUGUAAUAAGUGGCAAUAUCGGGCCUGGUAAGUUGGGUGAGAACUGGAAAGGAUCGUUUAGGAUCUCAAAGUUUAUUCGUUUAGGAUCAUAUAAGCUAGCCAAGUUAAAUGUUCAAAUCAUUCCCCAUGCCUGGAAUAUCUGUAAUCUGAGCAUGUUGUGUUGUUCAGUGAUAAGAAACGAUGUGAUUGCCUUCCUGAAAAUGAUUAAGAAGACGAGAAGAGGCUACGAGGCGAGUGUCGCCAGGCCAAGUCACAAAGCGGGUGUCCCCAGGCCAAGUCACAAAGCAGGUUUCUCCAGACCAUUCGGGUGUUGGUCCCACUAAACUAGGCCACAAGGUAGGUUCUGCCAAGCCAGGUCACAAGACAAGUUUCGCCAGACUGUUUGGACAUUAGUCUCACUAAACAGGACCACAAGGCGAUUUCUGCCAGGCUAGGUGAUACGGAUAAGGAAAUAAUACGAUACUUCAAAAAUUUAAAAAGGGAAACUCCAAAUCAUGACAAAUCAAGUUACUAUCGCUUAAUUCAAGGCUUACGAGAUGAGAACUAUAUUUGGGAAGCAUGGGAGAAGAAGGAAACAAAUCAGACUCUCUUCAACACAUGUGGACGCACAACACAAUUUCAGAUCGCGUAAUGCAUGUAUGACCAAAUUGCAUUUAGGCCAGUUUUAUUAUUUUAGUAUUUUAGUAUUUUGUGGGAUUUGUUUUAAAUUAAUUUGACCUAUAUUAGAAGCCAAAUUCGUGCAGCCCAUUUAGGAAGGAGAUUUCUCCAAGAUAAUUUAGGAAAAUGAUCUUUAAUGUAAUCCAGAUUUGACUAUUUGACUAGAUACCCUUCCUAUAUUGUAAUUACACCUUCCUACAAUAGAAUUAGGGUUUGAAGGCUAUAAAAACAACCUUAAGGUGGCAGCCACGAGAAGGCAGUGAAUAAAAAUGAUUUUUUGAACAAUAUUUGGUUCUUCUCCAUUAUUUGGUAACUUAUCAAGGUUUAACCUUGUGGCGUUCUGAUAUGGAUUUCCUCCAUGCUUAGUUAACUUAUCAAGAAUUUCUUGUGGCGUUCUCGAAGCUGGAAUCGCUUGAUUAUCUAUGUUUCUAAUCACAUGGUUGGUUAGGGGUGUGGUAGAGUAACCUUCGCUUGAUUAUCCAUGUUUCUAAUCACAUUCGUUGGUUAGGGGUGUGGUAGAGCAACCUUCUGGAAGAUAUCUUUGUCUUGUUCUUUAUCAAGUUGUGUGACGGGGUUUUUUAUCACAAGUUGGUCCUGAGUUCCGCAUCACUAGGUCACAAAAUGGAUUCUGCCAGACCACUCGGGCAUUGAUCCUACUAAAUGACUCCAAAAGGCGAGUUUUGUCAGGCUAGGUUAUAAGGUGGAUUUCACCAAACCAUUCAGGCAUCGGUCCCAGUAAAUAAAGCCACAAGGUAAGUUCUGCCAUGCCACAAUCCAAACAUUGUUCCCUAUAAACAGUUGAUCUAUGCCAGACAUCCACAAGGUGGGUAUAACAAUCCCCAAGAGAUGAAGGUGUCAACCAAAGAUUAACGUUAAUAAGGCAAGUCUUAUGACCAAGUAUCAAGACGAGUAACCGAUUGAAAGUGCCUUAUUGCAAAAUUUUGUCAAUGCGUUGGAAAAGCGAGAGUCUGCUAGGCCACAGGCACGAGUAUUAAUCUCGUUUUGCAAAAGUUCUCUAAAUUAUUUUAUAUCUGUUAAGUCCUACAAAGUAAGUGCACUUUAGGUCCCUUCAUUGGGCAGAAAAGGGUGGCCAUUAGAUUCCAUAGUUUGGAUAAAAGAUAGCCCCUUGGCCAAUUGUUCAAAUUAUUGAUAAGUGACAAAGGGAACAAACAAACGCUUAAGGGUAGAUAUACAAAAUAUAUAUUACAAAAGUUAACAAGGGGAUAAGGUGGGCUUCGGCAAGUCUCUAUUACAUCAAAAUAUUUUAAAAAUCUAUCAACAGAGACCCAGUUGGCAGGGUUAUCUCCAACCUCUCGACCUUAUCCUUUAGGAAGAUGUCAUAUGUCCAGAACAAGCCACAUAAAGAACCCCUUCUCUAAUUGCUUUUUUGGCCUAGCCCUUGGAAUCAAUCUUGCACAAUCCAACUCCCUUUGUGAGAUCGUGACACUAAAAAGCCAUUAUAGUAGGAUUGAUUGCAGUCCUCAGAGCUAAAUAGUAUACUUGUACCUUCAUGAAGACUCGACUUUAGUUGCUCUUCAAAGAUCAUGAUAAUAUCCUCCGCACAAAUCAGGCUACUCUCAGGAAAAGAAAAGAAAAUACCCCCAUUCAUGUCUCCCACAGAUGCCAGUCAUAAAUAAAAAGAAGAGAAAGGAGGGUUAUUAUACCGUGGCAUAGCCGACAAAACUUUAAAUAUGCCUCAAAAAAUAAGGCAACUAUCGUGACCAAGGGAAGACAAAAUGAUGUAAGUAGUAAAGGCCAAUCAAAUUAUCGAAAAGACAAACCGUCACUUUUGAAUCUGAAGAACUGAAGACCAGUGAGGGACUACUGAUGCUACAUAACAAUCGCCCAAAAUAAGCCAUGAGUUGUUGCCAUAGAAUAGGUCCAUGUGGCAAGGAUUGAAAAGUAAGCAACAUGGUUCAGCCCGAGAAAAGGAAGGCCCAGACACCUUAGCACCUGGUUGAUCAUUAAGACUCACCCUUCCCUCGAUAGGGCAUGUCUCGGCGCAAAGUUACCGUUAUGAGACACAAUUUAGUGUAUCAUCAUUACGCAUAUAAUCAUAGGAUUACCAACCCAUUAGCUGACGAUAUUCCUUAACAAACAGCCAACUACAUCAUUGCCGGAUUAUCAAAAAAUGCUAUAUUCAUCUCCACUUACUUAUAUAGUAUAAAAGAAGAAAAAUCAUAGAGGUAAAGGUACGCUGUUUUUUGACGCAAAAACUCUAAGAAAUUUACUAUAUUCACUAUCUUCUCCAGUAUUUUGACUUGAGUGUUAGAGUAACUGCCCUAAGCACCCAUCACUAUCUCAUAUUCUCUUCUUUGUAUGUGUAGUCAAUCACAACGUAACUCCAUUCUGGUCACGUCAUCGAUUUAGACUUUGAAACAUCACUAACUAGUUAGAUAAAUAAAUAGACUAAUGCUUAAUGGUUUGAAAACAUAGGGACUCAUUAAUUUGUUUUUGAAAAUAAAGAGAUCAAAUAAUUAGUUUUAUUUAACUACACAGAUCAAAUAGUAAUUGCUGCUAUAAACAAACUAUUUUGCUGAACGACAGAGUUUUAACGGAAAACCACAUCGUUUCGAUUUUGGGGGUUACAGACGAGCCCUAAAAUACAUGUCCCGAUGUGCAGCUGCUCUUUUCCCCUUUCUUUCUCGGCUCUACCCUCGACCCUUUUUCUAUUUGUCCCCCAACUCAUCUCUUAUCCUCCUUCGAGCUCAGACGACUGUCUUGCCCUCUCUCACUUGCAUUCUCGAAGGUGAGACUUGCUUAUUUUAAAAAAUGUCACAGAUUUCGUCUCACAAUACUGUGAUUUCAGGUGUCGUGUCCAUAUCUGAGUAUCUUUAAUUCCCGACCAAGUUUGGUUACUCUAAAGCUUACCAAUGAACUGCUAUGGACAGAUGAUUUUAGCCUUCGAUUUUGGGCCUUUGUCUUUGUCAAUCAUCUUUAUAUGUGCCUUUUGUGUUCUGGGAUUAACUGUUUUAUGCAAAUUCCCCCCUCUAUUUCCCGGGUCAUUCUCUUGUUAUUGUUGUUACUGAUAUGUGAUGUAAAGCUUUUAUUUUCAUAUAUCCCUUUGUUAUAUGCAGAUGAAUAGGGAGAGACUUAUGAAGAUGGCUGGUGCCGUUCGCACUGGUGGGAAGGGCAGCAUGAGAAGGUGGGAUGUGUAUUUCAACUUCUAACUAUCAAAUUUAUCUCAUACGAUAUGCCUAUAUCAAGUAUUUAUCAAUUGGGUACUAUUUAAAUUUUCUUAUGAGUGGUUUGGCUUUGGCUACAAUGAGUUUCUGGCAGUACUUGGUUGCAAAUAUUCUUUUAAAGCUUUGUUCUUUACCACAGAAAGAAGAAGGCCGUACACAAGACUACCACUACGGAUGAUAAAAGGCUUCAGAGUACACUGAAGAGAAUAGGAGUGAAUGCUAUUCCUGCAAUAGAGGAGGUCAACAUAUUUAAGGAUGACACAGUUAUUCAGUUUGUGAACCCCAAAGGUGAAGGCUGCUUAUGCUUAUGGAUUGAUUUAUUUACAUCUUAUAAGCUGCUCAUAGUAAACAAGCUUUAUAAUUUUUUUUUUUUAAAUUUCAGUUCAAGCAUCAAUUGCUGCCAAUACAUGGGUUGUUAGCGGCUCUCCGCAGACUAAGAGUAUGGCUCUAAUUCUCCCAUCACUUGUAGGCAUUACAUGACUUCUAUUUCCAAUACUUGGAUUUGCUAUGGUUUUGUUUUCAAAUGUCGCGCUUGUGGUUGUCGCUUGCCCUUGAGACUAAGAAGGUUGACAGUAUUAUGUGAAGAAUGACUGAAGAGGCCAAGAUGAAGUAACAAAAAUUAUAAAUAAGAAUGUUAUCAAAGGUGACGUUAAGACACUACUGAAUUGUUUAUGAAAUAAUAGAAAAGCUUAAAAAUUAUGAACUUCAGGAUAUUGUGUGCCUAUAGUUGAAUAAAGAUGCCUCAAAGGUGAAAGGAGCUAUGUUACUUGGACUCGUAUAUGGAUGUCAGAUAUGGGUGCAUAUCAUGGAGGUAUGGAUCUAAGUUUAGACAUAGGUGCUUCGAUAAGAUAUAUUAUGUAAAAUAAAUUAGAAUAAAAAAUAUAAAAUUACAUAGUGAUAAUUAUAGUUUAAAUAGAUUAUUAAAUACAACUAAAUAUAUCAUCCAAAAUACAAUUAAAGAAAUAUUUUUAUGCAAAUACAUAAACUUAAUCUUGAGAGAGAAGAAUGCUCCAUUAACUAUGCAUGAAUAUAUCACUCAAGCAUCUAAGUGCACGAAUAUGUGUUAGACAUCAUAGUUGUGAAAGGCUCAAGGUGCACCGAGGUGCAAAGGGGGUUUGGAGCCUAGACGCAAGGCGCAAGCCCGCGCCCGAGUAAUGUGAGGCACUAAAAAGAAAAAGAUAGAUAAAAAUCCAAAGAUUCAUUAACAUUCUAGUAAACAUAAACCAAAAUGUAAUAAAGUUAAAGUAAAAAACAUCAAAUGCUAACACUAACAAUUCUAUAAUCACUAUUCACAUUCACAUUUCUAUAACCACAAUCAUAAUGCAUCUUCAUAAUCACAAUUUCACUAUUCACAGAAUACAUUACUUGGUCUCUCUCUACAAUCAUAAUGGCACAAUUCACAAUACAUCAAGUACUUAAAGCACAAUUCUCACCUAAUUGAACACAAAUUCACAAGUAACAUACAGCUGAAAAAAAAAGAAACAGAAUAGCAAUAGCACAGAACAGAUGCAGCAACAGAUCUGGUCGACAGCAACAUUAGAAAGUGUUGAAUCCCACAUCGGUUGUGGAAAGGGGUAAUGUGCCUCUCAUAUGGGCUAUAGGCACUCCUCUCCCUUGAGCUAGCUUUUGGGGUGAGUUAGACCUGGCCCAAAUUUAACAUGGUAUCAGAGUCUCUCCAUCCGAUGUUGGGCCUCCUAUUAAUAUGUCAUGUACCAGUAAAAUUCUGGGCAUAUAAACAUGUUAUGUACCAAUAAAAUUCUGGGCGUGAGAGGCUGUGUUGAAUUCCACAUCGGUUGUGGAAAGGGGUAAUGUGCCCCUUAUAUGGGCCAUAGGCACUCUUCUCCCUUGAACUAGCUUUUGGGGUGAGUUAGGCCUGGCCUAAUUUUAACAGAAAGAAAAAAAUUGGGCGGCAUGCCUGCAGAAUUACAACCAUAGGGAGAAUAAAUGAGAACAGAAAGAGGAAAAUGAGAUGAGAAGGAAGAAAAAGAGAAAGAAGAAAAAGAGGAAGGAGGAUGAUAAACAAAAAAACAAAAAAAAGAAAUAGUUACUUGAGAUGGGAUUAAACAGGUAUGUAAAAUAUUAAUGAUUAUUCAUUAUUCCUCUUCUUUUUUUUUUUUCCUUUCUCUUUUUCUUUUUUCUUCUUUUUUCUCCUUAUGGCAUAUGCUGUCUUGAAAAUAAAAGAUCUAGGGCAAAAAAUUUGACACCUUAGAGAAAGGGUGCGUGGUACGGCGCAGGCCCAACUCUCCAACGCAUGCCUGAGUGCGCUUGGGCUACAGCGCCCGCCUGGGGUGGUGCAAGGCACUAGCCCUGGCGCUUGGUGCGCCUUGCGCCUCAAGCGCGCCUUUCACAACAGUGUUAGACAUAUAUCCCAUGUUUUAUCCCAUGAAGUGUCAUGUUGACAUGAGUAUCGCAUGGUAAAAUAAAGAGUCAAAGUAUCAAAGGAAAGGAGUCAUGGAGCUAGGCACGUAAGUGGUAAGAUGCACAGUUAAUAAAUUAAGACACCUUAUCUUGUAUAAUAGAACUGUUCAUAUUAAUAGCAUAAAAUAAUUGGAAUUCACCAUCUUUCCUUUUGACUAAAACAAACUACAUAAAACUUAAGUCUAAUUAACAAGCUACAUGCUUAUCAAUUCAUGCAAGUUGGUUUAAUGGGUAGCAGAUUCAUCAAAGAAAAAGGCAAAAGAAAACAAGAAAUGCGGGGUUUAGGAGGCAGCAUAGGAGAAUGAAGCAAAGGAAGUGAGGAAAGUUGCAGAAUAGAUGCGAGAAAGAAGGGAAAAAAGGGACCAAUUGAGGAACAGCUGUGGUAGAUUGAAGAAAAGGGAGUGAAUGAAAAUUACGAUAGCUAAGCUUAUAAAAGAAAAAGAUCCCAGAAAACAAAUCUUUUAUGCAUUUUUUUUUAUUUUAAUUAAUUGCUAUGCAUGAUGUGAUGGGUUAUAUAAUUUUAAUCUCCUCAAUUACUUUUACUAAGUCUUUGUGUUCCUCGAAUGUUAUCUUUUGUCCUGCCUUUUCCUUCCUUGUGCAGCCAUUCCUAUUUUCCUUUUUCCAGUUUUCUUCUUGAACUGGAGUCCCAUUGAAGUCUAUUAAGAUAUUCAAAUCCUAACCAAAAGUAAUUUGGCCCCUGUUUUUUCAUAUAUUUCCAAAAAUCCAUAAAUUAUAAUAACGUAUCUGAUUGCUUAAAUUGCAGAAAACAUAAUACCAAAUUACUUUUGAUGUCCCCAAUAUGAAAUCUAGACCAGAAUUCUAAAUUUCUCAGGUCUUCUGAAUGUUGAAAUUGCAGAAAUACAGUACCAAAAUGCUCUAUGAUGUCUCUAAUAUGAAAUCUAGACUGCAUUUGUUAAUUAACCAUUUCUCUUGCUCAGUCCCAUGUGUACAAUUGAGCUUACAUUGCAUGAGAACUAACGAGUUUUCAUUUUCUUUUUCUUCAGAAUUGCAAGAUAUUCUCCCUCAAGUACUAAGUCAUUUGGGUAUGCAAAUUCCAAUUUGCUACAUGGUAGUUUAGUUAAAUUUGGAGUUUGUAUUUGACCGUAUUCUACUAACUCGAUUUUAUUUUUUUAAAUCUGCUAAUGUAUAGGUCCUGAUAAUUUGGACAACUUGAAGAAGUUGGCGGAGCAGAUCCAGAAGCAGGUGCCUAGUGAUGGUGCUCCAGCAACUGCAGCACAAGAGGAUGAUGAUGAGGUCCCAGAGCUUGUAGCUGGGGAGACUUUUGAAGCUGCUGCAGAGGAGGGUAACGCUAACCCUGCUGCUUAGGAAAUAUAGACAGGGAGUUUGUGCUAUUUUAUAAUACACUUCCUACUUCUUUCUUUCUUUUUUUUAUUUUUUAUUUUUAAAAUUUGUCAAGUUCUUGCUUUUGUAGGUUAUAACUCGAUCAUUCAUCUUAUUUUCUAGAGAUACUGGAUGGUUCAGAUCGACUUUAUAGUUUCUGAGCAAUUUCUGAUUCGUGGUCAGUAUUUUACCAUUUUUAAUUGCAAUUUUUAAAUAGUUGUAGACCUCAAAUCUGUUGUUCUCCCCUCUCUAAGCCACCGAGACGUGUAGUAAUGCGGACAAAAGCAAAACAGAGCGUAAUAUGGUUGGAUUUGAGCUCAAAUUAGCCAUGAACUAGUGUCGUUCCUGUUU
rnacentral:lncRNA from 1 species